rnacentral:rRNA from 1 species
GACGAACGCUGGCGGCGUGCUUAACACAUGCAAGUCGAACGGGAUCCAAAGGCUUUUUGUUUUUGGUGAGAGUGGCGAACGGGUGAGUAACACGUGAGUAACCUGCCCCCUUCUUUUGGAUAACCGCAUGAAAGUGUGGCUAAUACAGGAUAUUCCAGGCUGGUCGCAUGAUUGGUUUGGGAAAUGGUUUGGUAUGGUGGGGGAUGGGCUCGCGGCCUAUCAGCUUGUUGGUGGGGUGAUGGCCUACCAAGGCGGUGACGGGUAGCCGGCCUGAGAGGGUGGGCGGUCACACUGGGACUGAGAUACGGCCCAGACUCCUACGGGAGGCAGCAGUGGGGGAUUUUGCACAAUGGGCGCAAGCCUGAUGCAGCGACGCCGCGUGAGGGAUGAAGGCCUUCGGGUUGUAAACCUCUUUCGCUGGGUUGAAAGGCCAUGCUUUGGGUGUGGUUGAUUUGAACUGGUAAAGAAGUACCGGCUAACUACGUG